CCUCCAUUCCUUCAUAGAGCAACCACAAGACCUUUGCUAGGGUUUUGAAGUUCAGUCAGAUCUGAGUUAGAUUGGCCUCGUUUUACCACGGUUCCACAGAUCUUAAAUUUGCUCUGGGUGUGCUCGUACUCUUUCGCUUCAAUGUCGGAAUUGUUUGGCUAACCCUUUCCAGAUGUGACUUCAGGUGAGAAUGCUGAAGCAUAGCGACGGAGCGGGGGCCUAUGAUGGGAGAUUUUUCCUAUAUUUUCAUUUCAUGCAUUUUGUAAUAGAUUUUAUGACGUUUUUCUCUAUUAUGAACUUGUAAUAAAGAUGAAGUACUAUGAUUGGAUUAUC